rnacentral:rRNA from 1 species
AUGGGGAGGACGCCCUGCUGCGAGAGCAGGCAGGGGCUGAAGAAAGGGCCCUGGACGCCGGAGGAGGACAAGCUCCUCGUCGACUACGUCCAGGCCAACGCCCCCGGCAACUGGCGCAUGCUCCCCAAGCUCGCCGGGCUGAACCGGUGCGGCAAGAGCUGCCGGCUGCGGUGGACGAACUACCUCCGGCCGGACAUCAAGCGCGGGCCCUUCACCGCCGAGGAGCACAAGUCCAUCCUCCAGCUCCACGCCAUCGUCGGCAACAAGUGGUCCAUGAUCGCGGCGCAGCUGCCCGGCCGGACGGACAACGAGAUCAAGAACUACUGGAACACCAACCUCAAGAAGCAGCUCCGCCAGGCGGCGCUCGUCGGCGAGCAGCACCCCGCCCUGGCCAGCCCGGGCGCGUCUGUCGGCGCCGGCUGCCUCGCCGCGCGUCACACGGCCCAGUGGGAGACCGCCCGCCUCGAGGCCGAGGCGCGCCUCUCCAUGCUCUCCACCUCCGCCGCGACCACCAGCGUGACCGCCUCCUCCUCCUCCUCCACCGCCGCGGCCGGGGGCGAGCACGGGGCCGACGCGCCGUCCGACGUCUUCCUGCGCCUCUGGAACUCCGAGGUCGGGGACACAUUCCGCCGCAAGUCGGCGGGCUCGGCGCCGCGCGAAGGGUCGGCGCAGCCAGCAGCGGCACCGUUGCCCCCGCCCGGGGACGACUCGUCGGCAGCGUCCAACGUGACGACGGCCGUGACGGCGGAGGAGUACCAGGUGUUCCUGGACAUGGCGGCCGAGGAGCUGGGCCUGUUCCACGGCGGGUUCUCGCUGUACCCGCAGGCGGACGGCCUGUUCGCCGAGUUCCAGUGA